rnacentral:rRNA from 1 species
GACGAACGCUGGCGGCGUGCUUAACACAUGCAAGUCGAACGGAAAGGCCCUGAUUUUGUGGGGUGCUCGAGUGGCGAACGGGUGAGUAAAACGUGAGUAAACUGCCCUUGACUUUGGGAUAACUUCAGGAAAAUGGGGCUAAUACCGGAUAGGAGCUCCUGAUGCAUGGGGGGGGUUGGAGAGAUUCGGCGGUUGGGGAUGGACUGGAGGCUUAUCAGCUUGUUGGGGAAGUAGUGACUUACAAAGGCUUUGACGGGUAGCCGGCCUGGGAGGGUGACCGGCGACAUUGGGACUGAGGUACGGCCCAGACUCCUACGUGACGCAGCAGUGGGGAAUAUGGCACAAUGGGCUGAAGCCUGAUGCAGCAACGCCGCGUUCGUGAUGAUGGCCUUCGAGUGGUAAACCUCUGUCUCCUGUGACGAGCCCAGAUUGACGGUAAUUGGUAAAGAAGCACCGGCUAACUACGUG